GACGAACGCUGGCGGCAGGCCUAACACAUGCAAGUCGAACGCUCCGCAAGGGGAGUGGCGCACGGGUGAGUAACACGUGGGAACCUACCUUCUGGUACGGAACAACCAAGGGAAACUUUGGCUAAGACCGUAUACGACCUCCGGGUGAAAGAUUGAUCGCCGGAAGAGGGGCCCGCGUCCGAUUAGGUAGUUGGUGAGGUAGCGGCUCACCAAGCCUUCGAUCGGUAGCUGGUCUGAGAGGAUGACCAGCCACACUGGGACUGAGACACGGCCCAGACUCCUACGGGAGGCAGCAGUGGGGAAUAUUGGACAAUGGGCGCAAGCCUGAUCCAGCCAUGCCGCGUGAGUGAUGAAGGCCUUCGGUUGUAAG
rnacentral:rRNA from 1 species